GCGAAGGCAGCUUGCCCAGGCAGACCGUUUGAACGUGAUUAUUUUUGCAUUCGCCCUGUGAAAGCGCAAAGGCGUGAUUUUCCCAUUUGAAAAAAAUCUUUCUUACUCCGUGACGGCUUAUCCAGCGAGCCCAGAGUUUGUACUGUUAGACUGUGGGAGGAAACCAGAGUACCAGAGAAAACUCACGUGGUCUCAAGGUGAACGUACUAACUCCUUUUAGGCAGCGGCAGGAAAUGAACCUGGGUUGCUUGUAAUGUAAAGCAUUGUGCUAACCACUCACUACGUUACCAAAAGGGAAUCUAAAACUAAAGGUCGUGGAUCUAAGGGAACAAAGAUCCUCGACUUCCUGACUGGGAGACCUCAGUCAGACCGGAUCGGGAGCAGCAUCUCCAACACCAUCACACUGAGCACGGGGGCCCCCAGGGCUGUGUGCUCAGUCCAUUGCUGUUCACUCUGCUGACCCACGACUGUGCUGCAACACACAGCUCGAACCACAUCAUCAAGUUCACUGAUGACACAACCCUGGUGGGUCUCAUCAGCAAGAACAACGAAUCAGCUUACAGAGAGGAGGUGCAGCGGCUAACAGACUGGUGCAGAGCCAACAACCUGUCUCUGAAUGUGAACAAAAGAGAUGGUUUAAAAAAAACAUA